rnacentral:lncRNA from 1 species
UCAACGUAGUUUAUUAUCUUGUGCCUUCAAAUAAUUUACACGACUGACAUAAAAAUAUAACAAUUGAAAAAAAAAAUCAUUACAAUGGGUAUAUUCAUUUUAACAAAUAUUCUUCAAUCUAAUACUAUAAAAAAAUACAUUGGCCACUUUGAAUUGCUACAGGUCAACUUCUAUCCACAGUAGUAGAAUGUAUAAAUUGAGAUAU